rnacentral:rRNA from 1 species
AUUGAACGCUAGCGGGAUGCUUUACACAUGCAAGUCGAACGGCAGCGCGGACUUCGGUCUGGCGGCGAGUGGCGAACGGGUGAGUAAUGUAUCGGAACGUGCCCAGUAGCGGUGGAUAACUACGCGAAAGCGUAGCUAAUACCGCAUACGCCCUGCGGGGGAAAGCAGGGGAUCGUAAGACCUUGCACUAUUGGAUCGGCCGAUAUCGGAUUAGCUAGUUGGUGAGGUAACGGCUCACCAAGGCGACGAUCCGUAGCUGGUUUGAGAGGACGACCAGCCACACUGGGACUGAGACACGGCCCAGACUCCUACGGGAGGCAGCAGUGGGGAAUUUUGGACAAUGGGGGCAACCUUGAUCCAGCCAUCCCGCGUGUGCGAUGAAGGCCUUCGGGUUGUAAAGCACUUUUGGCAGGAAAGAAACGUCGCGGGCUAAUAACCCGUGGAACUGACGGUACCUGCAGAAUAAGCACCGGCUAACUACGUG